AGAGUUUGAUCAUGGCUCAGGACGAACGCUGGCGGCGCGCCUAAUGCAUGCAAGUCGAACGAGCGAACCCCUUCGGGGGCGAGUUAGUGGCAGACGGCUGAGUAACGCGUAAGCAACCUACCCACUGGCGGGGGACAACCCGGAGAAAUCCGAGCUAAUACCGCAUGUGGUUGCCUGCCGAUAGCGGGUAACCAAAGGCUUCGGCCACCAGUGGAUGGGCUUGCGUCCCAUCAGGUAGUUGGUGAGGUAACGGCCCACCAAGCCAUCGACGGGUAGCCGGUGUGAGAGCACGACCGGCCAGAGGGGGACUGAGACACGGCCCCCACUCCUACGGGAGGCAGCAGCAGGGAAUCUUGCGCAAUGGGCGAAAGCCUGACGCAGCGACGCCGCGUGAGGGAAGAAGGCCUGCGGGUCGUAAACCUCUUUCUCGGGGAAGA
rnacentral:rRNA from 1 species